rnacentral:rRNA from 1 species
CCUACGGGUGGCAGCAGUGAGGAAUAUUGGUCAAUGGCCGAGAGGCUGAACCAGCCAAGUCGCGUGAGGGAAGACGGCCCUACGGGUUGUAAACCUCUUUUGUCGGGGAGCAAAGCGAACCACGUGUGGUUCAUUGAGAGUACCCGAAGAAAAAGCAUCGGCUAACUCCGUGCCAGCAGCCGCGGUAAUACGGAGGAUGCGAGCGUUAUCCGGAUUUACUGGGUGUAAAGGGCGUGUAGGCGGGAAAGCAAGUCAGAUGUGAAAACCAUGGGCUCAACCUGUGGCCUGCAUUUGAAACUGUUUUUCUUGAGUACUGGAGAGGCAGACGGAAUUCCUAGUGUAGCGGUGAAAUGCGUAGAUAUUAGGAGGAACACCAGUGGCGAAGGCGGUCUGCUGGACAGCAACUGACGCUGAGGCGCGAAAGCGUGGGGAGCAAACAGGAUUAGAUACCCGGGUAGUC